AAUCAACGCUGGCGGCGUGCCUCAGACAUGCAAGUCGAACGCGAAAGUCCCCUUCGGGGGACAAGUAGAGUGGCGCACGGGUGAGUAACACGUAGGUAAUCUACCUUCAGAUGGGGAAUAACAACCGGAAACGGUUGCUAAUACCGCAUAAUGCAGCGGCACCUAAUGGUGACAGUUGUUAAAGCGGGGGAGUCGAAAGACCUCGCGUCUGAAGAGGAGCCUGCGGCGGAUUAGCAGUUGGUAAGGUAAUGGCUUACCAAGGCGACGAUCCG
rnacentral:rRNA from 1 species